GGAGGGAAACGGACAAUGCAGUUCAGACUUAAAAGACAUCUAUGUUCCAUCCUCACCUCAACCAGAAUUAGAAGUAAAAUGGCACUAUGGGUGAAAGUGGUGAUUUCCUCAAGAAGGUUCAAAAGGAAGAGUGAAGUUCCCAGAAGGAGGGGCUGGUAUUCCUGAAGGUAGCUGGCAGAGUCAGCAGAGACAAGAAAGUGCUUCCACAGAACAAUCUUCCUCCUCUGUGACAAAGCUCCACAUUAGGAUAAAAUGGACUGUGCUGAGCUUCCGCUGAAUAUAGUCACCACAGACGAGGAAAACCAAGAGAGUGAUCUCAGAUACAGACCACAUGGGUUGGAGUCCUCCAAGGUCAGACUCAGAACCAUGACAAUUCUGCAGAAUACUGCAAGGCUCAUACUGAAAGAUCUGGUGUUUGCUUUGUGGCAUGUCUGGGAGAAAAAGAGAAAGCAGGGACAGAGUAGUAGUAUAAUCCAGAGGUGACAUUCAGAGAGUUGGAAGAUGUUUCCCAGCCCUUUCUCUCCAGUAACUGCAGAAGUUACCUACUAUCAGCAGCCCAGGAUAGAUCCUAACAACCAUGAGCAGCAGUAUCCAGCCUCAAAAGAAUCCCUUCCUGGAGUUACACCUGACUGCAGUAUUCCAGAUCCAUCAGAUUGCUAGAAGCCUGAAGCAGGAUGGCCCUGGAUGCACUGAGUAGGCAGCAACAGGAAAUGACAACCAGGAUGGUUUUCCCUUUCCCUAAAUGUUUCUAGUUCUUUUUGUAACACCUAUGUACAGCAUGGUAAAUUUGAACAGGACAUGAUGUAUAUAGGGGAAAACAGCUCUAAUAAAAGUGCUGCUCUUGCAGCUCAAAAUCAAAUCUAGGGUUACAGCCUAUGUAACCUGAGAAAUAAAGUUGGAUCCAAACAUUAAGCCUCAAGUGAAAGAGCCCUGCUAAAAGAAGGGUGGUGUUAAAUCUAAACAUUACCUAGUGCAGGCUAACCAUCCAGAUUCCUUCUGUAUUUCAAAAAUGUGAAGGGAUGUGGUAAGAAAAGCCAAAACCUAUCUGACUUGAGUCUGCUGAGUGACCUCAAUGUCACAAAAAGUCAGAAGGAGGAGGUGUAGGGAAAAUGUGGGACUGUUGCUGAAUGGGACAGGAAAUCUGGUGUCAAAGGACACUGAAAAAGCCAAAACUUCAUUCACCUCAGUUUUUACUGUGGACACUGACCUUCAGGAGUCCCAAUGAGACGAGACAAAGUCUAGAACAAGGAAGCCUUUCCCUCAUUGUCUCCAUUGAUCAAGGAAGGGAACACAGAAAUUAGGCACACACAAAUGAUUUCAUGGGAGGCGUGCACUGACCAAUGUCAUAAUGAGGCCAGCCUCUACGAUACUGGAAAAGUCAUGGUGAACACAGGCUUCUGGAGAACUGGAAGAAAGCAAUCACUUCUAUUUGUUGUGUGAGAGGGCAGAAAGAAGAAUCUGGAGAACUACAGGCUGUCCAGCUGCCUCUGGAUUCCUGGGCAAGUGUUGAAACAACAAUUCCAGGAAAUUAUUUCCAGUUUUGGGACAUUUCUGAGGAGUAAGACACAGACAUCGUCCCUGGUUUGAUUAGCCAUCUCGAGGGAAGAAAGUCAGCCUCAUUAUCAAAGGUAAUUCCAAGAAGAAAACCUACAUAUUUCCAGUGUUUAGUGGCUCCCAGAAUCCUUGUGGAAACUCUGCAGGAUAGAAAUUAAGUGCCUUCCUCCACUGAAUACAUCUGAAACUGUUUAAUGGAGAUUUAAAGCAGAAUGUUUUAGAAUUCCCUCCAUCAGUUUGAAGAGAAACCAAUCCAAUUAAUUCUCAGCUGUUCUUCUACUAGUGA